GACAGAGGUGCCGAGCGUUAGGCGGAAUCACUGGGCUUAAAGCGUGUGUAGGCGGUGGCCUAAGUAUUUUGUGAAAUCCCACGGCUCAACCGUGGAACUGCUUGGUAUACUGGGUCUCUUGAGCCACCUAGGGGCAAGUGGAACAAACGGUGGAGCGGUGAAAUGCGUAGAUAUCGUUUGGAACGCCAAUGGUGAAAACAGCUUGCUGGGGGUGUGCUGACGCUGAGACACGAAAGCCAGGGGAGCAAACGGG
rnacentral:rRNA from 1 species